rnacentral:rRNA from 1 species
CUACGGAGGGUGCAAGCGUUAUUCGGAAUCACUGGGCGUAAAGGGUGCGUAGGCGGUUUGAUAAGUCUGAUGUGAAAUCCUAUGGCUCAACCACAGAACUGCAUUGGAAACUGUCAGACUAGAAUACUGAAGGGGCAGAUGGAAUUAGUGGUGUAGGGGUAAAAUCCGUAGAUAUCACUAGGAAUACCGAAAGCGAAAGCGAUCUGCCGGGAAGUUAUUGACGCUGAGGCACGAAAGCGUGGGGAGCAAACAGGAUUAGAAACCCUAGUAGUCC